rfam:Pluralibacter gergoviae strain JS81F13 contig_1, whole genome shotgun sequence.
UUUUUCUCCGGCCGGGGAAGGAUGAGAAGCUUCGACCAAGGUUCGAUUCGAGCGCAGCGAGAAAGCGUUGCCGCAGGCAACGACCCGAAGGGCGAGGAGCACAGCGACGAGUAAUCCUUCCCCCACCACCA